GGCCGGUUGGCUCAGUGGUUUGAGCGUGGUGCUGACAAUAAUGACAGCACCAAGGUUGUGGGUUCGAUUCCUGCUCGGUCC
rnacentral:tRNA from 1 species